AGGGGACUCGAGUUCGACUGUGCCAACUGGCAGCAAUGGCUUCCUCCUCACAAGUCUCCUCCGGGCGAACCAUGAAGGUUCUGGUGGUCUUGGCGGUCCUCGUCUGCCUCAUCGCCUCUGAGGCAAAGGGAGAAACGAUGAAUCUGAGAGUUCGUCGUCAAGGUGUAGGAAGUGGUGGAUUCCCAGGAGGAACUGGUGGAAGGCCAGGAGGCAGUGGUGGUGGAGGACCAGCAGGGGGUGCUGCUGGCUCAGGGGGUGGAGGUGGAAGUGGAAGACCACAAGGGGCUGCUGCAGGCUCAGGAGGUGGAGGUGGAGGUGGAGGACGUCCAGGAAGCUCUGGAGGCUCAGGGGGUGGAGGUGGAACUGGAGGACGCCCAGGAGGUGGAGGACGGCCAGCAGGCUCAGCAGCUGGGGGUGCUCCUAGGGGAGGGUCUAGGCCCUAAGAAGUCACUGAUGCACUGAAAUGGAAGGAUCAACCGAAACGGCGAGAACUGUGAUCUGGCAAAGGAGAAUGGAAAACACAGAUGUCUGCACAAACUCUAGAAGCCUCUAUGUAGCUCUCAGCAUUUCCUGUCUUCGACGUGAAAAUAAAACUGUACUGACUUCAACCUCAGCUUUACUGGAUAAUUCGUUUCUUUCUUUUAUCAUGUAAAUUUGUCUAUAAGUUCUGUUUCUUUUCCACUGGCAAAUAAUCCUCAAACCUUUUCAUGAUUAAAUGUGAAGCAAU